rnacentral:rRNA from 1 species
UGUUGCUUGCAAGGGCGUAUGGUGGAUGCCUUGGCAGACAGGACCGAUGAAGGACGUUUGAGGCUGCGAUAUGCCUCGGGGAGCCGCCAACAGGGCUUUGAUCCGAGGAUUUCCGAAUGGGGGAACCCACCGACCGUCAUGGGUCGGUACCGGCUUCGGCCGGGGGGUACGCAGGGAAGUGAAACAUCUCAGUACCUGCAGGAAAGGAUAUUCCGUGAGUAGUGGCGAGCGAAAGCGGAUGAUGGCCAAACCUUGCGCGUGUGAUACCCGUCGGGGGUUGCGCGCGGGGUGUUGCGGGAUCGCGUGCGCCGGCUCCGACGGGCCGGCCGGCAGUUGCAGAAAACCAUGUGUCAGGGGAACCGGGUUGAAUACCGGGCCGCAGAGGGUGAGGGCCCCGUACCUGAACGCGCAUGGUCUGCCGAUCGCGUCUCCCAAGUAGCACGGGUCCCGUGGAACCCCGUGCGAAUCCGCCCAGACCGUUGGGUAAGCCUGAAUAUUCCUGUCUGACCGAUAGCGAACGAGUACCGUGAGGGAAAGGUGAAAAGUACCCCGGGAGGGGAGUGAAACAGUCUCUGAAACCGUGCGCCUACAAUCCGUCGGAGCCCUUUUGUGGGGUGACGGCGUGCCUAUCGAAAAAUGAGUCUGCGAGUCAGUGGCAUGUGGCGAGCAUAACCCGUGUGGGGUAUGCGUAGCGAAGGCGAGUCUUAAAAGGCGUUUGAGUCGCGUGUCCUGGACCCGAAGCGGGAUGAUCUAGCCCUGAGCAGGUUGAAGCGCGGGUAAGACCGCGUGGAGGACCGAACCCACCUGGGUUGAAAACCGGGGGGAUGACUUGGGGCUAGGGGUGAAAGGCCAAUCAAAUUCCGUGAUAGCUGGUUCUCUCCGAAAUGCAUUUGGGUGCAGCGUCGGGUCAUUACGUCCCGGGGGUAGAGCUACUGGAUGCUUGCGGGCCCGUAUCGGGUACCAACAGCAACCAAACUCCGAAUACCGGUGACGCGUAUCCCGGCAGUGAGUCGGCGGGGGAUAAGCUUCGUCGUCGAAAGGGAAACAGCCCAGACCGUCGUCUAAGGUCCCGAAGCGUGUGCUAAGUGGGAAAGGAUGUGGAGUCGCAUAGACAGCCAGGAGGUUGGCUCAGAAGCAGCCACCCUUGAAAGAGUGCGUAACAGCUCACUGGUCUAGUGGUUCCGCGCCGACAAUGUAGCGGGGCUCAAGCACACCACCGAAGACGCGGCAGUAUUUUGUACUGGGUAGGAGAGCGUCCCAUGAGGGGCGAAGCGGCCGUGUGAACGCGCCGUGGACUUCAUGGGAGUGAGAAUGCAGACAUGAGUAGCGAGAGACGGGUGAAGAUCCCGUCCGCUGGAUGACCAAGGGUUCCAGGGCCACGUUCAUCGUCCCUGGGUGAGUCGGGUCCUAAGGCGAGGCCGACAGGCGUAGUCGAAUGGAUGAACGGGUCGAUAUUCCCGUACCGGCUUUCAGCCGCCAAAACCGAGGCUUGGAGUACUAACCUCCGGGUCCGGGCUUACUGCUCCUUCGGGGGCGGGAUGCCCUGGCCUGUUGGGACCGAUCCUUGUAGUAGGUCAGCGCAGGAGUGACGCAGAAGGGUAGCCGGCCGCGGAGGUGGUCUUCCGUGGUCAAGCACGCAGGGCGUGGGACAGGCAAAUCCGUCCCGCAUGGGUCCGAGGUGCGAUGAUGGGGGCCUUAUGGCCCGAUAUCCGGUGAUCCCGGCUGCCGAGAAAAGCUUCGGCGUCAGGCUCGAAGCCGCCCGUACCCCAAACCGACACUGGUGGUCAGGUAGAGAAUACCAAAGCGAUCGAGCGAAUCCUGGUCAAGGAACUCGGCAAAUCACUCCCGUUCCUUCGGUUUAAGGGAGACCCCCGAUGGUGAACACACUUGCUGUGGGAGCUUUUGGGGGUGGCACAGACCAGGGGGUAGCGACUGUUUACCAAAAACACAGGUGCAUGCGAAGGCGCAAGCCGCUGUAUAUGCACUGACGCCUGCCCGGUGCCGGAAGGUUAAGAGGAUCCGUCAGCCUUCGGGUGAAGCGGUGAAUUCAAGCCCCGGUAAACGGCGGUGGUAACUAUAACCAUCCUAAGGUAGCGAAAUUCCUUGUCGGGUAA